AGGAUGGUUGGAAAGGUUGCGAGGGAUUUUAUAGUAUACCAAUCCAACGAUGGUAUCGCCGGAUUUUUGAAGAGUAUGGUCCAUAAGUAAAGAACAGAGCAGUGCUCAUGUGGGGAAUAGAAAAGAAAAGCUUUUGUUUGCCAGACUGAGAGGGAUGAGGACAAAGACAUACACUUGUGGAGAAAACGAGAAAGAAAAAGAGCUUGAGGGGCUUGAGCUAAAGAAAAUAGGUGUGUGUGCGAGCGGCGAAGGAAGCGAGAGAGGUUCAAACCUCGAGAGAGAGAGAGAGAGAGAGAGGUGAGCUGGAGGUUUUAAUGUGGCCGUUUGUCGUGUUUAUGUGGCUGUGGCGCUGCUCUCUCCUGCUCUCUGUAUUGAUGGCAGUGCAGCCAGGCUGUAAUUGAUGGCGGCAUAUUGCUGUACUCCGGCAAGUGUAAUGGGCCGAGACACAGAAGCAGAGAGCACAGCAGGAACCCUCUUUAACCCUUUACGUGCUCACACACUCGAACCCUGAAAUGUGUGUGUGUCUCUGUAGGGAAGACGACGGGUGCCACAUUUAUACUACAGCUUGCCAUAGCACUCUGCAAACUGACAAAAGAUGGAGCUGCAUUGGAAUAAACAUAGCAGUACAUAUGUGACCUUUGACCUCUUCAGUGGACCAUAAACUCUUCAUUUAGCUCAUUUUUGAGCAAGUGUGUGAGUGACUGGAGUAGUGGCAGACUGAUGGACGGACGUCGUCCCUCUCUAAUGAUGGCUGAGAGAAGACACCCAUUCCAUCAUCCCCCUCUCAUCUCCUCUUCCCCCAAUCUCAUCUGAUCUGAUAUUAACAGGCAGUAUUAAAAUCAUGCAACGCCUUAACAGACUCAUUUAAAAUUAAUAACUGGUAAUUAUAGAGGAAGCUGGUUCACAGUAGCUUGGGAGGGGGAAGGGACCAAAAGAUGGAGACAAGGAAUAGAGGACAGUGAAUCUGGUCAUAGCUCUAGUGUCAAUACUGAGCACGUAUAUCAUAUCACUUCUCAAAUUAGACCGACUGACAACCCUCCUACAUUAUUUAUUUACUUGUUUUGAAGAUUUUUGUGACUUGUAUUUUAAGAAGUCUUCAAGGGAUAAAAUUUUAAUUCUAUCAUCGUUUACUCACCCCUCAUUUUAAUAUCAAGAAGAUAUUUGAAAGAAUUCUGGUAACCAAACAGUUAACGGUAGCCAUUGAUUUCCAUAGUAUUUUAUUUCCAUGCUGUGGAAGUCAAUGGCUACCGUCAACUGUUACCAGACAUUCUUCAAAAUAUCAAAAAAUGCUCGGCAGAAGAAAGAAACUCAUACAGUUUUGGAACAACAUGAGGGUGAGUAAAUGAUGACAGAAUUUUAAUUUUUGGGUGAACGCUGUCCCUUUAAGUAGUCUUAAUCAGUUGAUUAAAUUCUGGUUGUAAUCAGUAUACAUGUGUUGAUUUUUCAGCUUGCAAAAGACUAAGUCUUUGUCUCAUAUUCUCAAUGUGUUUGGAAAUGUUAUAUACCAUAUACUAUAGUAUGCACUACAUAAUGCAUGCUAUCCAAAAUAGUACAUGAAACAAUAUACACAAUGAUAAUCUGCAAUAAUGUGUUUUAAACAGUAGUAUGCAACAUGUCAAUUUGCCACAUGACCAUAACAUGUUGCAUGAAUUUAGUGAGUCAAAUAUUUUUAAUUUAAUGCAAAAAUGUCUUAACUUCUUGUAGUUUGAUUCAGAUGAACAAAGAAAGUGGUUAAUUUCAAGGUUAUAAUUUCUGGUUCUUUGUUCACACUUGAAACGGAAGGUCAGGUUGACCACAUUGCAUUGUGGGAUAUUCCUGUAUCAAAUGUUAUAGGUCAUCCAUGCAUAAAAAAAAAUUUGCUUAAUGUGCACAGUAUACAUUUUCAAGUACAAGUAAUAUGGCAAUAUGCCAUUCUGAACAUACCCAAAGGGUCUCUGUCUUAUGCAA